GGGUUGUGAGGUUAAGCGACUAAGCGUACACGGUGGAUGCCCUGGCAGUCAGAGGCGAUGAAGGACGUGCUAAUCUGCGAUAAGCGUCGGUAAGGUGAUAUGAACCGUUAUAACCGGCGAUUUCCGAAUGGGGAAACCCAGUGUGAUUCGUCACACUAUCAUUAACUGAAUCCAUAGGUUAAUGAGGCGAACCGGGGGAACUGAAACAUCUAAGUACCCCGAGGAAAAGAAAUCAACCGAGAUUCCCCCAGUAGCGGCGAGCGAACGGGGAGGAGCCCAGAGCCUGAAUCAGUGUGUGUGUUAGUGGAAGCGUCUGGAAAGGCGCGCGAUACAGGGUGACAGCCCCGUACACAAAAAUGCACAUAUUGUGAGCUCGAUGAGUAGGGCGGGACACGUGGUAUCCUGUCUGAAUAUGGGGGGACCAUCCUCCAAGGCUAAAUACUCCUGACUGACCGAUAGUGAACCAGUACCGUGAGGGAAAGGCGAAAAGAACCCCGGCGAGGGGAGUGAAAAAGAACCUGAAACCGUGUACGUACAAGCAGUGGGAGCCUCUUUAUGGGGUGACUGCGUACCUUUUGUAUAAUGGGUCAGCGACUUAUAUUCUGUAGCAAGGUUAACCGAAUAGGGGAGCCGAAGGGAAACCGAGUCUUAACUGGGCGUUAAGUUGCAGGGUAUAGACCCGAAACCCGGUGAUCUAGCCAUGGGCAGGUUGAAGGUUGGGUAACACUAACUGGAGGACCGAACCGACUAAUGUUGAAAAAUUAGCGGAUGACUUGUGGCUGGGGGUGAAAGGCCAAUCAAACCGGGAGAUAGCUGGUUCUCCCCGAAAGCUAUUUAGGUAGCGCCUCGUGAAUUCAUCUCCGGGGGUAGAGCACUGUUUCGGCAAGGGGGUCAUCCCGACUUACCAACCCGAUGCAAACUGCGAAUACCGGAGAAUGUUAUCACGGGAGACACACGGCGGGUGCUAACGUCCGUCGUGAAGAGGGAAACAACCCAGACCGCCAGCUAAGGUCCCAAAGUCAUGGUUAAGUGGGAAACGAUGUGGGAAGGCCCAGACAGCCAGGAUGUUGGCUUAGAAGCAGCCAUCAUUUAAAGAAAGCGUAAUAGCUCACUGGUCGAGUCGGCCUGCGCGGAAGAUGUAACGGGGCUAAACCAUGCACCGAAGCUGCGGCAGCGACGCUUAUGCGUUGUUGGGUAGGGGAGCGUUCUGUAAGCCUGUGAAGGUGUACUGUGAGGUAUGCUGGAGGUAUCAGAAGUGCGAAUGCUGACAUAAGUAACGAUAAAGCGGGUGAAAAGCCCGCUCGCCGGAAGACCAAGGGUUCCUGUCCAACGUUAAUCGGGGCAGGGUGAGUCGACCCCUAAGGCGAGGCCGAAAGGCGUAGUCGAUGGGAAACAGGUUAAUAUUCCUGUACUUGGUGUUACUGCGAAGGGGGGACGGAGAAGGCUAUGUUGGCCGGGCGACGGUUGUCCCGGUUUAAGCGUGUAGGCUGGUUUUCCAGGCAAAUCCGGAAAAUCAAGGCUGAGGCGUGAUGACGAGGCACUACGGUGCUGAAGCAACAAAUGCCCUGCUUCCAGGAAAAGCCUCUAAGCAUCAGGUAACAUCAAAUCGUACCCCAAACCGACACAGGUGGUCAGGUAGAGAAUACCAAGGCGCUUGAGAGAACUCGGGUGAAGGAACUAGGCAAAAUGGUGCCGUAACUUCGGGAGAAGGCACGCUGAUAUGUAGGUGAAGCGACGUGCUCGUGGAGCUGAAAUCAGUCGAAGAUACCAGCUGGCUGCAACUGUUUAUUAAAAACACAGCACUGUGCAAACACGAAAGUGGACGUAUACGGUGUGACGCCUGCCCGGUGCCGGAAGGUUAAUUGAUGGGGUUAGCGGUAACGCGAAGCUCUUGAUCGAAGCCCCGGUAAACGGCGGCCGUAACUAUAACGGUCCUAAGGUAGCGAAAUUCCUUGUCGGGUAAGUUCCGACCUGCACGAAUGGCGUAAUGAUGGCCAGGCUGUCUCCACCCGAGACUCAGUGAAAUUGAACUCGCUGUGAAGAUGCAGUGUACCCGCGGCAAGACGGAAAGACCCCGUGAACCUUUACUAUAGCUUGACACUGAACAUUGAGCCUUGAUGUGUAGGAUAGGUGGGAGGCUUUGAAGUGUGGACGCCAGUCUGCAUGGAGCCGACCUUGAAAUACCACCCUUUAAUGUUUGAUGUUCUAACGUUGGCCCGUAAUCCGGGUUGCGGACAGUGUCUGGUGGGUAGUUUGACUGGGGCGGUCUCCUCCUAAAGAGUAACGGAGGAGCACGAAGGUUGGCUAAUCCUGGUCGGACAUCAGGAGGUUAGUGCAAUGGCAUAAGCCAGCUUGACUGCGAGCGUGACGGCGCGAGCAGGUGCGAAAGCAGGUCAUAGUGAUCCGGUGGUUCUGAAUGGAAGGGCCAUCGCUCAACGGAUAAAAGGUACUCCGGGGAUAACAGGCUGAUACCGCCCAAGAGUUCAUAUCGACGGCGGUGUUUGGCACCUCGAUGUCGGCUCAUCACAUCCUGGGGCUGAAGUAGGUCCCAAGGGUAUGGCUGUUCGCCAUUUAAAGUGGUACGCGAGCUGGGUUUAGAACGUCGUGAGACAGUUCGGUCCCUAUCUGCCGUGGGCGCUGGAGAACUGAGGGGGGCUGCUCCUAGUACGAGAGGACCGGAGUGGACGCAUCACUGGUGUUCGGGUUGUCAUGCCAAUGGCACUGCCCGGUAGCUAAAUGCGGAAGAGAUAAGUGCUGAAAGCAUCUAAGCACGAAACUUGCCCCGAGAUGAGUUCUCCCUGACCCUUUAAGGGUCCUGAAGGAACGUUGAAGACGACGACGUUGAUAGGCCGGGUGUGUAAGCGCAGCGAUGCGUUGAGCUAACCGGUACUAAUGAACCGUGAGGCUUAACCUUACAACGCCGAAG
rnacentral:rRNA from 1 species